rnacentral:rRNA from 1 species
AUUGAACGCUGGCGGCAUGCUUUACGCAUGCAAGUCGAACGGUAACAGGUUAAGCUGACGAGUGGCGAACGGGUGAGUAAUGCAUCGGAACGUGCUCGGUCGUGGGGGAUAACGCAGCGAAAGCUGCGCUAAUACCGCAUACGAUCUGAGGAUGAAAGCGGGGGACCGUAAGGCCUCGCGCGAUCGGAGCGGCCGAUGUCAGAUUAGGUAGUUGGUGGGGUAAAGGCCCACCAAGCCGACGAUCUGUAGCUGGUCGGAGAGGACGACCAGCCACACUGGGACUGAGACACGGCCCAGACUCCUACGGGAGGCAGCAGUGGGGAAUUUUGGACAAUGGGCGAAAGCCUGAUCCAGCAAUGCCGCGUGCAGGAAGAAGGCCUUCGGGUUGUAAACUGCUUUUGUACGGAGCGAAAAGGUCCUUUCUAAUACAAGGGGCUCAUGACGGUACCGUAAGAAUAAGCACCGGCUAACUACGUGCCAGCCGCCGCAGUAA